rnacentral:rRNA from 1 species
AGUGGGGAAUUUUGGACAAUGGGCGCAAGCCUGAUCCAGCAAUGCCGCGUGCAGGAAGAAGGCCUUCGGGUUGUAAACUGCUUUUGUCAGGGAAGAAAUCCUCUGGGUUAAUACCUCGGGGGGAUGACGGUACCUGAAGAAUAAGCACCGGCUAACUACGUGCCAGCAGCCGCGGUAAUACGUAGGGUGCGAGCGUUAAUCGGAAUUACUGGGCGUAAAGCGUGCGCAGGCGGCUUUGCAAGACAGAUGUGAAAUCCCCAGGCUCAACCUGGGAACUGCAUUAGUGACUGUAUAGCUAGAGUGCGGCAGAGGGGGAUGGAAUUCCGCGUGUAGCAGUGAAAUGCGUAGAUAUGCGGAGGAACACCGAUGGCGAAGGCAAUCCCCUGGGCCUGCACUGACGCUCAUGCACGAAAGCGUGGGGAGCAAACAGGAUUAGAUACCCUGGUAGUCCACGCCCUAAACGAUGUCAACUGGUUGUUGGGCCUUCACUGGCUCAGUAACGAAGCUAACGCGUGAAGUUGACCGCCUGGGGAGUACGGCCGCAAGGUUA